rnacentral:rRNA from 1 species
UACGUAGGGUGCAAGCGUUGUCCGGAAUUAUUGGGCGUAAAGAGCUCGUAGGCGGUUUGUCGCGUCUGCUGUGAAAACCCGAGGCUCAACCUCGGGCCUGCAGUGGGGUACGGGCAGACUAGAGUGGCGGUAGGGGAGAUUGGAAUUCCUGGUGUAGCGGUGGAAUGCGCAGAUAUCAGGAGGAACACCAAUGGCGAAGGCAGAUCUCUGGGCCGUAACUGACGCUGAGGAGCGAAAGCAUGGGGAGCGAACAGG